GUUGAUUUGUAUUGGAGUAAUGGUCAAAUUUUCCUGACUUUUAGUUGGAAGAAGUAUUUAGCGAGAUCGGUCCCAUAAGGCGCUGCUUCAUGGUAACACAGAAGGGAUCAAGCAUACACCGGGGCUUGGCUUUUGUUCAGUUAAACUUUUGGCCCUGAGCAUCGCCCCAUUGUUGAGUUUGCCCUUGAUAAUGUCCAGAUACUGAAGUUGCGGAAAUUUAAGCUAUAGGCUCAACAGAGCAAGGAUGAAGUCCCAGUAGAGCAGCGAAACAAUACUGAAUUUCGGACAGAAGAUGCCAAUCCAAAUGCUGGAGACAAGAAACGGAAACGUAGAGAUGUCAAAAGGUCGGCCAAAACACCAGAACCCGGUAAAGGAAAUGUAAGGGAAAGCAUGGGCCCUUGGGGAGCCACCAGGAAGAACUCCCACCAACCAAGAAGCAGAAGGGAGCUGUGGAGAGAGUAACUGAGGUUGAUUUUGCUGCCAAAGAUCAAUCUAAGACAACUUUGGAGACAAAGAAGCACCAAAAAUUGAGAAAGUUGAAGGGUAGAAAAUCAUCUGAUGCUGGUGAUGUGGCUGUUGAUAUGCGAGAGUUAAAACCUAAAGGGAACAUAGAGAUGAGUCUGAGAAAGAGGAAGCUAGAAGAAAGUGUUCUUUCGAAGCCACAGCCAAACAAGAAAAACCCCAACAAAAGGAAGCGCAAAGACUUGGGGAAGGAGGUCGUGGAUAAACUUGACAUGCUGAUAGAACUAUAUCGAUUCAAGUUUUCACAGCGCACUUCUGACAAGCAUGAUGGUGAAAAGCAAGGUUCUAGACAACUCAGAAGAUGGUUCCAGUCAUAGCUUCCCAGUAGCUAGCCCUUUAAUAGAAUCUGACUGUACUUUCCAUGUAUUGAUGUUUCCGCAGAGAGGGAUGGUUUUGCAUCUUUAUCAUACAGGUUUGUAUUUAUAGCAAGGUUCUAGACAACGAAGAAAUGGUUCCAGUCAUAGCUUCAAAGUAGCUCUUUGAUAGAAUCUGGUUUUAGUUCCCAUGCAUUGAUGCUUCCGUGGAGGGGGAUGGUAUUGAAUUUUUAUCAUGCAAUAUUGUAUUUAUAGUAACUCUUAUUGGUUCUGGCAUUGCGGGAGAGUGUAAUGGAGGAGAGAGAAUAUGAGGGUUUUACACUUGGGUAAUGUAUAGAGAGCAUUUUAUCUUAAAAUAAUUGCUUAAGAUACAAUUAUAAUCAAAUCUGAAUUUUGCACCUUUUA